rnacentral:rRNA from 1 species
AUCCUGGUCCAGGACGAACGCUAGCGGCGUGCUUUAAGCAUGCAAGUGGAACGGUCCGUCGCAAGACGGAAAGUCGCGAACGGCUGAGUAACACGUAGGAACCUACCCUUUGGUGUGGAAUACCUCCGAGAAAUCGGAGCUAAUACCGCAUGACCCACGUUCAGUUACAUGAACGUGGAAAAGGAUAUAACUAUUCACCGAAGGAGGGGCCUGCGGCCUAUCAGCUAGUUGGUGGGGUAACGGCCUACCAAGGCUACGACGGGUAGGGGACGUGAGAGCGUGAACCCCCAGAAUGGCACUGAGACACGGGCCAUACACCUACGGGUGGCAGCAACUGGGAAUCGUGCGCAAUGGACGAAAGUCUGACGCCGCGACGCCGCGUGAGGGAUGACAGCCUUCGGGUUGUAAACCUCUUUUAUUUAGUCCGAGAGGACUUUUUGAAUAAGCACCGGCUAACUCCGUGCCAGCAGCAGCGGUAAUACGGAGGGUGCAAGCGUUGUCCGAAUUUAUUGGGCGUAAAGAGUUCGUAGGCGCCCCGCCGCAUCUUAUUUCAAAUACCAGAGCUUAACUUUGGAAAGGGAUAAGAGAUGGGCGGGGUUGAAGAGCGUGGGGGCUACUGGAACUUACGGUGUAGGAGUGAAAUCCGUUGAUAUCGUAAGGAACACCGAGGGCGAAGGCAAGUAGCUAGGCGCUAUUUGACGCUGAGGAACGAAAGCUAGGGGAGCGAAAGGGAUUAGAGACCCCUGUAGUCCUAGCCGUAAACGAUGCUCGCUAGGGAUCCGCCCUACAAAGAACAGGUUCUUUACGUGUUUUUUGUAGGGUAGGUCCCGUAAGCUAACGCGUUAAGCGAGCCGCCUGGGGAGUACGAGCGCAAGCUUAAGUACGAGCGCAAGCUUAAAACUCAAAGGAAUUGACGGGGACCCGCACAACCAGUGGAGCAUGUGGUUUAAUUCGAGACGAACCGAAGAACCUUACCUGGACUUGACAUCUUGCCGUUUUAUUCUGAUAGAAAUAUCGGGAGAUCCUUCGAAAGUUGGAUGGUAGGACAGGUGUUGCAUGGCUAUCGUCAGCUCGUGUCGUGGGAUGUUCCCUUCAGUGGGGUAACGAGCGCAACCCUCGCCGUAUGUUAAAUUGUUCAUACGGGACUGGUCGCCUUUGGCGACAGGAAGUGGGGACGACGUUAAGUCAGCAUGGCCCUUAUGUCCAGGGCAACACACAUGCUACAAUGAAGCCGACAAUGGGUUGCCAAGUGGUAACACGGAGCUAAUCCCAUCAAACGGCUUCUCAGUGGGGAUUGGGGGCUGCAACUCGCCCUCAUGAACGCGGAAUUGGUAGUAAUCGCGAAUCAGCUAAGUCGCGGUGAAUACGUUCUCGGGUCUUGUACACACCGCCUAUAGUAAUUAUAUUUAGGAACAACGCGCCUAGCAGUUGUAUCCUCUAGUAGAUUAAAAUUCUACCUCCGAUUUAAUCGGAGUAGCCAAAAAAAUUUGACAGUC